rnacentral:lncRNA from 1 species
CUCUCUUUCUCCUGUUCCAGCAAUGUAAGAGGAGCUGGCUUCACCUUCACCUUCGCCAUGAUUGAAGGUUUCCUGAGGCCUCCCCAGAAGCUGAACAGAGGCCAGUAUCAUGCUUCCUGUACAGCCUGCAGAACUGCCAAUGAUUGGAUUGCAAAUGGUCAUGACUGAAUUCUGAACAUAAGAGGAAAAGUUUUCUGAGCAGUUUUGGGGAAAGUUAUCUCUCCCCUAAGCAAGAGACACAAGAAGAAACCACCCAUCUUCUAACUCUGAGCACUGUCCUCGAUGUGGCCCCUGGAGCUGCUGCCCUCAUCUUAUGCCACACCUGAGAAUGAAAUCAACACUGAGAAGCGCAUUUUGGAGAUAUGGGAAAGCCCGUGCUUGAUGACAACACUGACCUAUUGAAUCAGUCAACCUAGAGCCUCAGCUUCUAUGCUACCACAUCCACUGGAGUUAGAUGGGGAAGCAGGUUCCUCAUCAGAAUUGCUCAGGAACUCAGACUGACAGAACAGCCACCAUUCUGACCAUUGCCUGUCACUAUGCUAGAGGCCAGACUUGGUGAUUCACUUUUAAAGAAUAGAAGAUGAGGAGCAAUGCUAUGUGACUUUCAAGGCUAGGUCAUAUAAAGAAUGGGUUCUGUCUGGCACUCUCUCUUGGACUACACAUUCUGGAGAAAACAGCAGCCACAUCAUGAGGACACUCAAGCAGUCCUGGGAGAGGUCCAUGUGGAGAGGAAUGAGGUCUUCUGACAACAGCCAGCACUAACUUACCAUCCAUGUGAGUGAGUGACCUUGGAGGUGGAUCCUCCUGCCCCAGAUAAGCCUUCAAAUGACUGCAGCCCCAGCUGACAUCUCAAGUGCAACAACUUGAGAGACCUCCAGGGAGAUAUACCCAGUCAAGCCACUCAUGAAAUAUUAAUCCACGUAUACUCAGAGGCAUAAUAAAUAUUUAUUGUUGUCUUAAGCCACUAUGCUUGGGCAGUUUGUUACACAGAAAUAUAUAACUGAUACAAUUUCUCUCCAAGAGACUGUCCUUAAUCCUGCACCUUUGUUUGCCUUCUUCCUUUCCUAAUCAUGCUUUCCCCUUUAUCCCCCUAUGGACUUUCCCUAGGAACACUUCCUAAUAAAUCCCUUUCACAAGAA